rnacentral:lncRNA from 1 species
AUUUCGGUAAGCCGUGUUGAGUAUCACUAUUGUCUCAGCGGUGAUCGAGCUGGCAUUGCAUUUAAGAGUUUUGUUAAAGAGAGAAAAGAAGAAGAAAUGUACACCGUUGAAAAAGAUUCCGAAAACUACGGUACUUGGUAUUAAAUUAGCCCUUGCCAUUUAUGGAGAGAAGGCGUAUCAGAUGAUAUCGGGUGGCUGGCAAUGGAGAUUAAAUGGCAGAUCAUUCUGCUUCUGUAUUAUAUAAAUAAGUGAACAUAUAUAUAAAUAUUAGGAAAAAUUUUCCUUCUCUCUUCUUCUUUUUAUUUUAUUUUAAAUAAAAAAAAGAAAAAUUUGGUU